rnacentral:ncRNA from 1 species
UAUGCUUGUGAAGGUUGAAGCCAGAGGAAACUCUGGUUGAGGACCGUAGCGAUUCUGACGUGCAAAUUGAUCGUAUAACGUGAGUAUAGGGGCGAAAGACUAAUCGAACUAUCUAGUAGCUGGUCCCCUUCGAAGUUUCCUCAGGAUAACUGGCAUUCUGAGAAAUAAACAGUUUUAUCCGGUAAAGCGAAUGAUUAGAGGCAUUGGGGAGAAAUCAUGCUCAACCUAUUCUCAAGCUUUAAAUGGGUGAGAAGCUUAACUCGCUUAAUUGGGGUUUUGCAUUGAAUGUGAGUGCCAAGUGGGCCAUUUUUGGUAAGCGGAACUGGCGCUGUGGGAUGAACCAAACGUUCGGUUAAGGUGCCUAACACGACGCUCAUGAGAUACCACAAAAGGUGUUGGUUGGUCUAGACAGCAGGACGGUGGCCAUGGAAGUCGGAAGCCGCUAAGGAGUGUGUAACAACUCAUCUGCCGAAUCAACCAGCCCUAAAAAUGGAUGGCGCUCGAGCGUUGGACCUAUACCAGACCAUUGCUGUAAGCUGGGCCUAUGCUGUGUGAGGGCAAA